GACGAACGCUGGCGGCGUGCUUAACACAUGCAAGUCGAACGGAAAGGCCCUGCUUGCAGGGUCCUCGAGUGGCGAACGGGUGAGUAACACGUGGGUGAUCUGCACUGCACUUCGGGAUAAGCCUGGGAAACUGGGUCUAAUACCGGAUAGGAGCCACUUUUAGCGUGUUGGUUGGAAAGUUUUUUCGGUGUAGGAUGAGCUCGCGGCCUAUCAGCUUGUUGGUGGGGUAAUGGCCUACCAAGGCGGCGACGGGUAGCCGGCCAGAGGGGGUGGACGGCCACAUUGGGACUGAGGUGCGGCCCAGACUCCUACGAGAGGCAGCAGUGGGGAAGAUUGCACAAUGGGCGCAAGCCGGAUGCAGCGGCGCCGCGUGGGGGAAGACGGCCUUCGGGUUGUAAACUCCUUUCGCUAGAGACGAAGCUUUUUGUGACGGUACCUAGAGAAGAAGCACCGGCUAACUACGUG
rnacentral:rRNA from 1 species